rnacentral:rRNA from 1 species
UACAGAGGUCUCAAGCGUUGUUCGGAUUCAUUGGGCGUAAAGGGUGCGUAGGCGGCGCGGUAAGUCGGGUGUGAAAUCUCGGAGCUUAACUCCGAAACUGCAUUCGAUACUGCCGUGCUUGAGGACUGGAGAGGAGACUGGAAUUACGGUGUAGCAGUGAAAUGCGUAGAUAUCGUAAGGAAGACCAGUGGCGAAGGCGAGUCUCUGGACAGUUACUGACACUGAGGCACGAAGGCCAGGGGAGCAAACGGG